AGCGAACGUUUGCGGCGGGCCUAACACAUGCAAGUCGAACGAGAUCUCGGGCUUCGGUCCGGGUGAAAGUGGCGCACGGGUGCGUAACACGUGGGUAAUCAACCCUCUGGAUCGGGACAACCCGGGGAAACUCGGGCUAAUACCGGAUACGUCGUCGGAGCUCUAGGGCUCUGACGGGAAAGGCCUGCAAGGGCUACCAGAGGACGAGCUCGCGGCCCAUCAGCUAGUUGGUGAGGUAAUGGCUCACCAAGGCGAAGACGGGUAGCUGGUCUGAGAGGAUGAUCAGCCACACUGGAACUGAGACACGGUCCAGACUCCUACGGGAGGCAGCAGUGGGGAAUAUUGCGCAAUGGCGAAGACCUGACGCAGCCACGCCGCGUGUGCGAUGAAGGUCUUCGGAUCGUAAAGCACUGUGGGGGGAGAAGAACAAAGCUGGUGAAGAGCCAGUCCCUGACGGUAUCCCCUUAGCAAGCACCGUCGUAACUCCGUGCCAG
rnacentral:rRNA from 1 species